CUCGUACCCGCUCUUCCGCACCAAUUCCGUCGUCAUCUCCGGCUUCUGCAUCGGCAAAAUAUUCCCACCACGAACAUGAACAUUCAUCGUAUCUUCUGGCGCGUCGAGGUUCACGUACUUCCCGGCAUUGGCGUCCACCACUUGCGAGUAGUUGAAUAGAUUGAACCAUCUCCCUGCAGGGAAAUGCGCGUUUACGGUGACGUUCCCUGGCUCGAGAACCGGGGAUACCAUCACGCCUCGUCCGAUCAGAAACUGCGUGCUGAUAUCGUAUGUGUCGGUGUCUUCUGGGAAUGAAAAGAAGAGAGGACGGACGAUCGGCGAGCCCCUGAUGUGCGCCUCGUACAUUAGGGUGUAGAAAUAUGGGAGAAGGCGAUACCGGAGGCCGAGGGUCUUUCUCGCAGCCCGGGCAACCGAGUCCCAAAUAUACAGCUCAUGCCGGAUCGAGCUCUUGUCGUAGUGGUUCCUCGCGAAAGGAUAGAAUGCACCUAGCUUCGCAGCGAAAAGAGUAUCUUUAGACUUUGUUAAAAUCAAAACUAUACGAUGAUGUUUGAAUUGACGCCGAACUUAGAUUUUGCAUACCUGAAUCCACCGCCGGCAGAGCUCCUCGGUAGUGUUACCGCGGAACCCACAGAUGUCCGCUCCGACCAUCGGUACCCCGAACAGUCCAAAAUUCAGUAUGCUGGGGAUCGAGUACGCGAUAUCGUCCCACGUCGCCGCAUUAUCCCCAGUCCAGUGUGCCGCGUACUUCCCAGACCCAAUGAACGUCGACCGUGACAGCACGAACGGUCGCUUCCCAGUGUCAUUCAUCAGCGCAUCGUGCGUCGCCCUCGACUCCAGCCAACCAUACAGGUUAUGUGCAUCGUACUCGCUUACAUUCCCGAAGUGGAUCGCCGAGGCCGGAACUGUUCUAUCGUAGAUGGGCCUAUUUAUGCCGGAGUUGUUAAUCCGGUAGGGUGGCUCGUCAAGAGCGUUGAGGGGCGAGGGGUCAGCAAAAUUGGAAAUCUCGUUCAUGUCGAUCCAUAAGCCAUCGACGGGGAUAAUUUGUCGGAAUAUCGCGAUCUCUCGGGCCCAGAACACAGCUGCAGCUGGGUUCAGGAAAUCCGGGAAAUAGACCGGCCCUGGCCACACGUUUCCCACGAAGUAACUUCCGUUCCUCUUCAGGAAAAUUCCAUCUCUCAUUCCCCUCUUGAAUGUGCCAUAUGUGUUGUUAACACUAAUCCCUGCAACAAUUUUGCAAGUUUUUGUUGUUCAUUAAUUGUGUGAAUUUUUCGCCAACAUUUUGAUGUUUCUGUAGUAGUGUUUCACCUGGUUCUACUAUGACCACAUAUUUUUGCCCAUUGUGGUGAAGGUGUUUGAUGAAUUGCUUCAUCUCCGGUGCAGGGAAGUUCACGGGGUCGAGGGUGAAGUCCUUGAACCCAUCCAUGUAGUCGAUAUCGGUCCACAUUACUUCGAGAGGGAUCUUGGCUUUGGCAUAGCCCGCGACGACGUCUUUGAGGUCUGAUACAUCCUUGAACUUGUAAUGGCACUGGUGAAAUCCUAGAGCAUAGAAAAAUUUUCUAGUUUUGUUCCUUGAUAUAUAGUACCAGAAAUUUUAGCAACUUUGUUUGGUAGACAUUUGAUUUUUUGCUUUUCCAAUAAAGAAGCUGUUUCAGAAACCUUACCAGAUGAGUACAUAGAAAAAGAUUUUUAGUUACUUACCGAAGGACCAGUACGGCAUUGGGGCGGGUCGACCGACGAACUCGGUGUACUGAUCGAUCACAGAUAGCGGCGAUGACCCCGCGAAAAAGUAGAAGUCGAGGAUUCCCCCGAUCACUUUGUAAGUGAUGUACGACCCACCGUAAACUAUGUCCAUGCCGUUGCUAUUGAGGAGGAGCACGCCGUGCGUAGUCCCCGCCGGGCCUGCAGCUCCGGGCUGCGACGAUCUCACAUCAAUGUAGAAAGGGUGAGACCCGUAGAGAUUCAGAUUGGGGUUCAACGCCAAUAUGUCGGAAUUCCACAAGGUCAGUGUGUCAUUUGGUUUUAGCCUAAAUGACUUCUUUGUGUGCUCUCCGAAACCAUACAAAGAUGCUCGAUCGGCGGGUAGAGCCGAGGAGAUCUCCAAGUACCGGUCCUUGAACACGAGUGUGGGCAUCGAAUCGAAUAGGAUAUCGCCCGUGGAGCGGCGCGUGACGGUGAACCUGAAGGGAGAGGUGGUGAGGAGUGUGAAGACGAGGUCGGCGCCCGCGAGACCGAGGACUAGUUGGUUUUCGGGUCCUUGGGACUUGUUUGAGUCUAUGUGAGCUCUUUGAUCUUCCGGCAUUUCGCGGUCCGACGGUGGAGGUUCGCGGGGGAUGAUGUGCUGUGGAACUUCCCAUCUUUGGUGAUCAGAAUCGGUUAUUCGAACUCGCAGACGAUCUUUGGUUUCGAAGCUGCAGAAAAAAGGAGGGAAAAAAAGGAACUUGAAAGAAUUCAAUAUCAGUUUUAUAAAACGUUGGUUUCUGUUGGAACCAAUCAUCUUUCUAGUUAGAACAUUUCACUAAAACCAAUCCCUAAUUACAAGGAAAACUAAUCUUAAGGAUCACAAAUGAACUUGCCUAGCAAAGAGCUUAAGGUUCGGUAUGUCUGGUCCGUAAACCGACGAUUUGCAGAUCAACCGGAGCUCCGCGGUGAGUGACUUACCCGAAGGGUUGACGGAGAUCGAUCGGAGGAGCUUGUAGCCGUAUCCGGUUAUUUGUUUCUUUUUCGAGUCGGAUUGAAUUGAUGAACAACAGGAGGUGGAGAAAGAGUAGAAGAGGAAGAUGAUGAUGAGGAGAUGAGAUGAGGAUCUCAAAAUUCCCAUCACUAUGUGUAGUAUUUUAGGCAAGGAAAUACCUAAUGGUGCUACCACAAGCUUACACUACUAGUAAUAUAUACUACGUGCUCACACAGUCACAACCCACAGCAACUUUUUGUACAAAUAAACUUCGCUAGAAAUGUGAAAUAAUUAGCAUUCGAAUUUAGAAUCUCGAGUACUGAUCAUCAGGUUUUACCUAAUUGUGCUAGAUUUGAUCGGUGCGCCCACCUUGAUCCAUAAUCAAGUAUUUAAGUGUCGUAAUACGAGAUCGUGCCGAAAGCUUGCCAGUGCGGUACGAUGCGUGUCAAGUCGUACCGAUGUAUGCUGAUCACAAAAUAAACAUAUAUGCCGACACAUACUGGCAUAAAAUAUUUAUUUUCUUUGAACCUUAAUAAGAAAAUUACUUACUAAUUAAAAAAAAUAGAGGGCUUUGAGUUAUGCCAUCGGUACGGGAGUUAUAUCAUGUCGAUAUUUUGUUGGCACGAUACGAUACAGUGUAUACGCUCCUUCUUGUAAUAAAAAAUUUAUAGACAGUGGAUGUAGAAAAAAUCUUCUCUGCAACAGAUAUAUAAAAUAUGAAAGAAAUAUUUUAUUUGUACAGAAAAAGGCCUCUUCGUGGGCUAGUGCCGAACCCAUCAAGCGAAUUAUGAGAUUCCCGCGCGCUUUGGUUAAACAAAAAAAAAGGAAAGAAAAGGAGAAAUUAAUUAUUGAGGAGAUUACGGGAAAGUGAAACGUGGAUUCCGGCCCAGCCCCGUCGAGAAGAGACACGUCGCACCAGUGAUUGGAUAUUGGUUUCCAUGCUUUGUGCGAGAACUCCUUUUUGGAGAUUGGAUAAUUAAGAUGGACAUGGAUGGAUGGGUGGGGUGGGUCUGCACGGCACGGAUUCGGUAGCACCCGUGUCGGCCGGGCCCAUCCUAGAAUUUUAGGCCGGGCUGGGCCUCUCGUCCUGGGCCUGACGGUUCGGCACGGCCCGACCGAAAACGACUGGGCUGAGGAGAGACCCGCGACCCGGCCCCCUGGGGAGAAGCGCUCUCCGGGAGCUCUCCUCCCAAGGUCUGCAAGCUUUGAUCCCAUGGACAGUUUGGCCCUGCCCGGCAGGGCCGGCGCCUUCUGGGCCAAAGGGCCGGAGGCUUGGUAGAUCUUGUUGGCUUAACGGGGGCGAUCAUCUUGCCUUAUGGCGGAAGGCCAAGUUAGACCAAGUCACGUUUGAAAUUGUAUAAGGCUGGGUUGCACCGAGUCAUAUUUGAAGUGACGUGAGGCUGGUUGGCCAAGUCACAAUUGAAAUCCGUAACGCUGUAGUAUCUGUACACUUUAAGAGAAUUGGUUGUAUAUUUCUACAAACACGAGUUUUGAGGAUUAAUGAUUGGCGUCAACGAUUCGGCUUGGCACAUUUUGGAAUAUUCGAUAUGCUCUCCCAAUAAAGUUAAAAUAGUGUGCUCUUAGGUUUAUGUAAUAGCAUCUUUGGAGCACUAGGUGUGGUUGAACUUUGGCAUUAUUACCCUCUCUUGUAUUUUCUUUUUAUUUUAACAGAAUAUGCCGAGUGAAUACAUAUUAUCCCAACAACAGGUGCAUUUAAAUUAGUUUCACUUUUUUCUAAGCAGGGUUGAUGGACAAACACUAGUUAUUUUUACUAUGUCGAAAAGCUCAUUUCAGUUCCUCAACAUAUUUUAUUUAUUUAAUGUCUGUUUAGUUGAAAAGUAAUUGAAAAAUUAUUUCAGAAAUCAGACGAAAAACGCCGUAAAUUGGCGGCUUCUACAAAUGUUACCAACAUGGUAAUUAAAAACUUGAACCAAAUUUAUUCCAAAUGUCUUUUUUAAAUAGAAAUUCCUAACCUUCUUGUGCUCAUCAUCAUCAUCAUCAUCAUCAUCAUCAUCAUCUUCCUAGUGAUCUCAAACACUAGUUAGAGAUCUUAAUUUCCAACUCAAAUUCCUCCCCAAGUAACUGUGACAACCCCUCAAUUUGUGCAAUCCCAAAUCUCCCAAUUUUACCAUGCUCAACUCUCUUCAUUUCCACCCCAUUCAUAUAUAUGCUACCCAUUCCAAGUGAUCUCUCCAACUCAAAUCCUAAAAGCACCACCUUUUCUAUCACUAGCUUAUGCUCCAAUGCAUAUUUUCCAUUUACAACCUCAGAUUUUAGUUUCAAAUACUUGUUUUCUAUUUCACUUUUGAACCUCACAAAGCUCCAAUCACCCCCUUCUCCCCCCAUCUCCACCACCUCCCCAUCAUCCACGAAAACCUCCCCCGUCGCCGCCCCGUUCUCGUCGACCACCACCAAAAGCUCGUACCCGCUCUUCCGCGCCAAUUCUGUCGUCAUCUCCGGCUUCUGCAUUGGCAAAAUAUUCCCGCCACGAACAUGAACAUUUAUCGUAUCUUCCGGCGCGUCGAGGUUCACGUACUUCCCGGCAUUGGCAUCCACCUUUUGCGAGUAGUUGAAUAGAUUGAACCAUCUCCCCGCAGGGAAAUACGCGUUUACGGUGACGUUCCCCGGCUCGACUACUGGAGACACCA
rnacentral:lncRNA from 1 species